UACGUAGGUGGCAAGCGUUGUCCGGAUUUACUGGACGUAAAGAGCGCGCAGGCGGUCGUUCAAGUCGCGUGUGAAAGCCCCCGGCUCAACUGGGGAGGGUCACGCGAUACUGAUCGACUGGAAGGCAGGAGAGGGUAGUGGAAUUCCCGGUGUAGUGGUGAAAUGCGUAGAUAUCGGGAGGAACACCAGUGGCGAAGGCGACUACCUGGCCUGUUCUUGACGCUGAGGCGCGAAAGCUAGGGGAGCAAACGGG
rnacentral:rRNA from 1 species